AUUGAACGCUGGCGGAAUGCUUUACACAUGCAAGUCGAACGGCAGCACGGACUUCGGUCUGGUGGCGAGUGGCGAACGGGUGAGUAAUGUAUCGGAACGUGCCCAGUCGUGGGGGAUAACGUAGUGAAAAUUACGCUAAUACCGCAUACGAUCUAUGGAUGAAAGCGGGGGAUCGCAAGACCUCGCGCGAUUGGAGCGGCCGAUGUCAGACUAGGUAGUUGGUGGGGUAAAGGCCCACCAAGCCAACGAUCUGUAGCUGGUCUGAGAGGACGACCAGCCACACUGGAACUGAGACACGGUCCAGACUCCUACGGGAGGCAGCAGUGGGGAAUUUUGGACAAUGGGCGAAAGCCUGAUCCAGCCAUUCCGCGUGCAGGAUGAAGGCCCUCGGGUUGUAAACUGCUUUUGUACAGAACGAAAAGGUUUCUACUAAUACUAGGAGCUCAUGACGGUACUGUAAGAAUAAGCACCGGCUAACUACGUGCCAGCAGCCGCGGUAA
rnacentral:rRNA from 1 species